GAUGGGGACACCCCAGCACUUACUACGUAGAGGCCGAGGAUCUCCUGGACAACAGACCAGUGGCGCCGAGACGAAGGGAGGUCCACGCAGAAGUUCAGGGGUGCAGCCGUAGAGAACGUGGGCAAAGAUAGACCAUCUCACGCCUCUGCUUCCUACCCACCGUUAACGACGAGCUUCCCGGCCAAUGCACCAAAGAUGUUACCGGGAAACUGACGGAGGCCAAGCACAGAGAGAUGGACACAGGUUUCUUCAGGAAGGAAGAGAUCUUUAUUCGAUUCACUGACCGGGACUCAGAGGGACUUAUGUCACCAAAAACAGCAAAGAUCUAAGCACUGAAUACAUAGAGUACAUUCCUUAUAUAGCACUGUAGCUCCUCCCAUAAUUAGCUACGCCCACACAUACCCUUAACCUAAUCAAUGAAUAGAGUCUAAACUCAUCCAUCCGGUCUAACCACGUGGCUCAUCUGAAACAAAGGAGAGGGACGCGUAAU